UCAGAUGAUCGUGUCGGUAGCCAUGUGCGUUUUCCUGGUGUGCGUGGGAGCAGGCGCGCAACCCGUACAUGAAAACGAGAACUACUUAAACGACAACUUGAGGGAGUACCUUCUGCUCAAGCGCUUGUUCGUCAAUGUUUUCGGCAGAGAGAGUGAGCUGGCUCCCAUCCCCGCCCCGAGUAAGAAGAUGUGCCUUAACCUGGGCGACCCUUCCUGCUACCACGGCAAUGUCAAUGGGAAUGGGGAGGAUAGUACCUACCUUUCGAGUGGUUACAACCCCGGGAAAUAGUCCAUAUUGAAAGAAAAGAAAAUGAAAAAUAGUUAAAUGAAGAAGAACAAGAAGAAGAAGAAGAAGAACAAGAAGAAGAACAAGAAGAAAAAGAAUAAGAAGAAGAAGAAGAAGAAGAAGAAGAAAUUUUAUUAUUAUUAUUAU